rnacentral:rRNA from 1 species
CCUACGGGCGGCAGCAGUGGGGAAUAUUGGACAAUGGGGGCAACCCUGAUCCAGCCAUGCCGCGUGUGUGAAUAAGGCCCUCGGGUUGUAAAGCACUUUCAGUGAGGAAGAACGCCUGGUGGUUAAUACCCAUCAGGAAAGACAUCACUCACAGAAGAAGCACCGGCUAACUCCGUGCCAGCAGCCGCGGUAAUACGGAGGGUGCGAGCGUUAAUCGGAAUUACUGGGCGUAAAGCGCGCGUAGGUGGCUUGAUAAGCCGGUUGUGAAAGCCCCGGGCUCAACCUGGGAACGGCAUCCGGAACUGUCAAGCUAGAGUGCAGGAGAGGAAGGUAGAAUUCCCGGUGUAGCGGUGAAAUGCGUAGAGAUCGGGAGGAAUACCAGUGGCGAAGGCGGCCUUCUGGACUGACACUGACACUGAGGUGCGAAAGCGUGGGUAGCAAACAGGAUUAGAUACCCGUGUAGUC